GUUCUCCCCACUCCUCUCUUUCUCUCUCUAACACCCACCACCGCCACCAUCAGCCAAACUCCGCCACCAUCAGCCAAACUCCGCCACCAUCAGCCACCCACCACCACUCUCUCCCCCCUCUCUCUCUCUACCCCUCCCUUUAUUCACCUAUGUUUGUUCGACCUCCACCGCACAUGGUGGUGGUUUGGUGUUAAGAUUUUCUGAUGGAAACCCUAGAUCCGGGCUGACACUGCCGCCAGAAAAGCCAACGCCACCCCAGAGACGAUCGUCCCCACCCCACACGAUUAUAUUCAUUACCCCAUUUUUCGUAUUCAUCUCCGGUUUGAAAGAGGUGUUCUUGAUAGAGACCAUUUGAAAGAGAUUAGAGGGAUGAUUUGGUGAAGUUCUUGGAUCGAAGUGCGGAGUUCUAGGAGAAUAGUUGCUGGAUGUUUGUAAACAUGAGCUGGGAUGUGGAUUCUUUGAGUUAGUGUGUUGGAUGCGAGAAGGUGAAGAUGAAGAAUAGGGGUUUCAGUUUCUGAACUGUCACGAUGAUCUGUAGAAACAGCUGGGUUGCAGAUCUGCAAAGGGUUAGGGGCGGUGGUGUGGCCGGAGUGGUGGUGGUGGCGGCAGGAUGAGGUGGUGAUGGCAAGAUGUGGUGUUUAGGGUUAGGAAAUUGGAAAGAUAAAAUGUAUAUGUAAUUUUUUUGUUUUAUUUAUUAAACAAUUAAAUAAAAACAUGAAUUGACCAAAAUACCCUUAACUGAAUAAACCUAACUAAAAAUUUUAAUCUGGUUA